AUUGAACGCUGGCGGCAGGCCUAACACAUGCAAGUCGAGCGGUAGAGAGGUGCUUGCACCUCUUGAGAGCGGCGGACGGGUGAGUAAUGCCUAGGAAUCUGCCUGGUAGUGGGGGAUAACGCUCGGAAACGGACGCUAAUACCGCAUACGUCCUACGGGAGAAAGCAGGGGACCUUCGGGCCUUGCGCUAUCAGAUGAGCCUAGGUCGGAUUAGCUAGUUGGUGAGGUAAUGGCUCACCAAGGCGACGAUCCGUAACUGGUCUGAGAGGAUGAUCAGUCACACUGGAACUGAGACACGGUCCAGACUCCUACGGGAGGCAGCAGUGGGGAAUAUUGGACAAUGGGCGAAAGCCUGAUCCAGCCAUGCUGCGUGUGUGAAGAAGGUCUUCGGAUUGUAAAGCACUUUAAGUUGGGAGGAAGGGUCGUUACCUAAUACGUGACGAUUUUGACGUUACUGACAGAAUAAGCACCGGCUAACUCUGUGCCAGCCGCCGCAGUAAAAC
rnacentral:rRNA from 1 species